CCACACCAUUGAUGUGAACUUAGCUAUAGAUGCCAUUUAUGUCAGAGGGAGCUAUUUCAGGCUGUUGAGAUUUAGAGAAAUGCCCAUGCUUUUUUAUUUUGCUUUUUUAUUUUUAUUUUGAAUUUACACAUUUCUCAUAUUUGUGUUAUUGCUACUAUUUGUGUUAUUGACCUUUCAGUAAUAAAAAAAAGACAUAUUAAGAUUAUUGUGAGAGUAUUUUUGUAUUUUCAAAAUACUAAUUACUUGUAUUUUAUUUAAAUACAUUUUUCACAUCAGUGUUUUGUAUUUUAUUUUGUUGCAUUUCAUGAGCCAGUAUUUGUAGUUUGUAACAAAAUAGUUUUUGAUGUAUUUGUGCCCACCUCUGAGGAGGAGUAUGUGUUGCUGUAGUUAUUCCAGAAAUUUCAGUUAAACUGAUAUGACGGUAUGGUUCCAGGUUCAGGAUGGUAUUCGGCUGCUGUAGCAGGAGUAGGUGCUGCUGUAGUUAUUCCAGAAAUCUCAGUAAAACUGAAACUGUAUGGUUCCAGGUUCAGGAUGGUAUUCGGCUGCUGUAGCAGGAGUAUGUGCUGCUGUAUUUAUUCCAGAAAUCUCAGUUAAACUGAUAUGACUGUAUGGUUCCAGGUUCAGUUCGGUCUUCGGCUGCUGUGGCAGGAGUAUGUGUUGCUGUAGUUAUUCCAGAAAUCUCAGUUAAAAUGAUAUGACUGUAUGAUUCAGGGUUCAGGUCGGUCUUCGGCUGCUGUAGCAGGAGUAUGUGUUGCUGUAGUUAUUCCCGAAAUCUCAGUUAAACGGAAAGUGUAUGGUUGCAAGUUCAGGUCGGUCUUUGGCUGCUGUAGCAGGAGUGUGUGCUGCUGUAGUUAUUCCAGAACUCUCAGUAAAACUGAAACUGUAUGGUUCCAGGUUCAGUUCGGUCUUCGGCAGCUGUAGCAGGAGAAUGUGAUGCUGUAGUUAUUCCAGAAAUCUCAGUAAAACUGAAAUUGUAUGGUUCCAGGUUCAGGUCGGUCUUCGGCUGCUGUAGUAGGGGUGUGCU
ensembl:lncRNA